rnacentral:rRNA from 1 species
UACAGAGGGUGCGAGCGUUAAUCGGAAUUACUGGGCGUAAAGCGUGCGCAGACGGUCACGUAAGUCGGGUGUGAAAGCCCCGGGCUCAACCUGGGAAUUGCAUUCGAGACUGCGUGGCUAGGGUGCGGAAGAGGGAAGCGGAAUUUACGGUGUAGCGGUGAAAUGCGUAGAGAUCGGGAGGAAGGCCGGUGGCGAAGGCGGCGCUCUGGAACGUUUCUGACACUGAGGCUCGAAAGCGUGGGGAGCAAACAGG